UACAGAGGUCUCAAGCGUUGUUCGGAUUCAUUGGGCGUAAAGGGUGCGUAGGUGGCAUGGCAAGUCGGAUGUGAAAUCCCGGGGCUCAACCCCGGAACUGCAUUCGAUACUGCCAGGCUAGAGUACUGGAGAGGAGAUUGGAAUUUACGGUGUAGCAGUGAAAUGCGUAGAUAUCGUAAGGAAGACCAGUGGCGAAGGCGGAUCUCUGGACAGUUACUGACACUGAGGCACGAAGGCCAGGGGAGCAAACGGG
rnacentral:rRNA from 1 species